CCAGCCCGCUACAGAAACUCAAGGAAGUUGACGGGGCCCGCACAAGCGGCGGAGCAUGUGGAUUAAUUCGAUGCAACGCGAAGAACCUUACCUGGGUUUGACAUAUACCGGAAAGCUGCAGAGAUGUCGGCCCCCCUUGUGGUCGGUAUACAGGUGGUGCAUGGUUGUCGUCAGUUCGUGUCGUGAGAUGUUGGGUUAAGUCCCGCAACGAGCGCAACCCCUAUCUUAUGUUGCCAGCACGUUAUGGUGGGGACUCGUAAGAGACUGCCGGGGUCAACUCGGAGGAAGGUGGGGACGACGUCAAGUCAUCAUGCCCCUUAUGUCCAGGGCUUCACACAUGCUACAAUGGCCAGUACAGAGGGCUGCGAGACCGUGAGGUGGAGCGAAUCCCUUAAAGCUGGUCUCAGUUCGGAUCGGGGUCUGCAACUCGACCCCGUGAAGUCGGAGUCGCUAGUAAUCGCAGAUCAGCAACGCUGCGGUGAAUACGUUCCCGGGCCUU
rnacentral:rRNA from 1 species